rnacentral:rRNA from 1 species
AGCAGUCGCCGCGGGAAUACAAAGGGUGCAAGCGUUACUCGGAAUUACUGGGCGUAAAGCGUGCGUAGGUGGUGGUUUAAGUCCGUUGUGAAAGCCCUGGGCUCAACCUGGGAAUUGCAGUGGAUACUGGGUCACUAGAGUGUGGUAGAGGAUAGUGGAAUUUCCGGUGUAGCAGUGAAAUGCGUAGAGAUCGGAAGGAACAUCUGUGGCGAAGGCGACUAUCUGGGCCAACACUGACACUGAGGCACGAAAGCGUGGGGAGCAAACAGGACUAGAUACCCCAGUAGUCCCUGUCUCUUAUAC